rnacentral:rRNA from 1 species
GACGAACGCUGGCGGCGUGCUUAACACAUGCAAGUCGAACGCUGAAGCUCAGCUUUUGUUGGGUGGAUGAGUGGCGAACGGGUGAGUAACACGUGAGUAACCUGCCUCCUUCUUUGGGAUAACGUCCGGAAACGGGUGCUAAUACUGGAUAUUCACUGGUCUUCGCAUGGGGGUUGGUGGAAAGGGUUUUUCUGGUGGGGGAUGGGCCCGCGGCCUAUCAGCUUGUUGGUGGGGUUAUGGCCUACCAAGGCUUUGACGGGUAGCCGGCCUGAGAGGGUGACCGGUCACAUUGGAAGUGCGGUACGACCCGGACUCAUACGCGAGGCAGCAGUGGGGAGUAUGGCGCAAUGGGGGCAAGUCUGAUGCGGGGGCGAGGCGUGUGGGAUGGAGGCGUGCGGGUUGUGAACCUCUUUCGGUCGUAGUGAAGCCGCAACAAUGGUUGUAGUGAGGGUAGUGGGUAAAGAAGCGCCGGCUAACUACGUG